AGCUCCAAUAGCGUAUAUUAAAGUUGUUGCAGUUAAAAAGCUCGUAGUUGGAUUUGGGACCGGGGCGGGGAGGUCGGCCGCGAGGUCUGUUACUUCCGCGCCUCGUCUUAAUUUCCGAAGACCCGUCGUGUACUUCGCUGUGCGCGGCGUCGGGACUCGGAACGUUUACUUUGAAAAAAUUAGAGUGUUCAAAGCAGGCUUCACCGAGCCAGAAUACAUGAGCAUGGAAUAAUGGAAUAGGACCGCGGUCUUAUUUUGUUGGUUUCUAAAACCGCAGUAAUGAUUAAGAGGGACAAUUGGGGGCGUCCGUAUUUCGUUGUCAGAGGUGAAAUUCUUGGAUUUACGAAAGACGAACAACUGCGAAAGCAUUCGCCAAGAGUGUUUUCAUUAAUCAAGAACG
rnacentral:rRNA from 1 species